CUGGCUCAGGACGAACGCUGGCGGCGUGCCUAAUACAUGCAAGUCGAACGAGACUUUUUAUUUGAUGCUUGCAUCUUUUAAAAAGUUGAGUGGCGAACGGGUGAGUAACACGUGGGUAACCUGCCUUAAAGUGGGGGAUAACACUUGGAAACAGGUGCUAAUACCGCAUAACCAUCAAAACCGCCUGGUUUUGAUGUUAAAGAUGGUUCUGCUAUCGCUUUAAGAUGGACCCGCGGCGUAUUAGCUAGUUGGUGAGGUAAUGGCUUACCAAGGCAAUGAUACGUAGCCGAACUGAGAGGUUGAUCGGCCACAUUGGGACUGAGACACGGCCCAAACUCCUACGGGAGGCAGCAGUAGGGAAUCUUCCACAAUGGACGAAAGUCUGAUGGAGCAACGCCGCGUGAGUGAAGAAGGUUUUCGGAUCGUAAAACUCUGUUGUCAGAGAAGAACGUGUGUGAGAGUAACUGUUCACGCAGUGACGGUAUCUGACCAGAAAGUCACGGCUAACUACGUGCCAGCAGCCGCGGUAAUACGUAGGUGGCAAGCGUUGUCCGGAUUUAUUGGGCGUAA
rnacentral:rRNA from 2 species